ensembl:lincRNA Y48C3A.1 ncRNA
UUAUCACAGCAAAUCGGAGCGAAACUCGACCGCGAUAACAGGAAAAAGUCGAAAACUUCACUCGAAUCAUCUUCUCGACACGAUUCUGUUGAAGGAUGCUCCUGGAUCGAAGAAGAUUGA